AACAUCUUUUCAUCAUUUCAAUAAUUAAGAAACCUAGAAUUCAUCAUACUUUUUCAUUGGAAGGAGGCAGAACAAUGGAGAAAAAGCUAAAACUCAGUAAAAGUAAAGGAAAGAGUUAGGACUGAGUGUAGAUAAACCUGUUUGUUAAUUUUGAUUAACCCCCAAGGGUAGCUUUGACUUUGAAUGGCGUCUCUUUCCAUGAAAACCUAGAAAAAUGUUUUAGAUGAGAAAAAUAGAUGCUUGAUAUUCUUCCAUCCAGGUCGUAAAGGAAAAGGAAUAGACGGUGUUGCUCUAAGACCAGCAGUCGUCCAUCUGUAUACCCAGGCAUAGCCAGGUCCUUGGUGAGAGCCAGCGUCAGCAAUCUGAUCAUCCUUGGAGGACCAAAGAAGGCCUGCAGACCCAAAGCCCACAGUGUGAGGAAGGUGCAGUAUUUGUGGUCUUUUGACCAAGACACAGACAUCUUAGCACACUUCAACUGAGAGAGGUGCCCAUGACCAUGGAUCGGAAGUCACCCCUAAUGCCAGUAUCCAACCUAGGAUCCCAGAACUUACACUCUGGAAAACCUUAAAGAGCUGUCACCAAGGGAAGACCUACUGAUAAAGCAGACAGCAGAACUUUUGAAUACAAGAAAGCAGUUCUGUGGGCAGAUGCAGCAGAAUUGGAGAUGCUGAUGGAGAAGAGG